UUACCUUAACCAUCGACAGACUUCAGAAAGGAACCAAAAAAAUCUUCAGAAUUCCCUGCAGUUCUGUAGUUCUAGGGUAGGGAAGACGGUGGACCAUGAAGACGUGACUUAUUUUUAGGAACUGACCUCUGGUGACUUCAAACUUGUUAAAAGUUCAAAUGUUAGGCGAAAAAAUUGCCAAAAACGUGAGAAAUGUCGAGUGUCUAGAAUAAAUAAGAGCAG